rnacentral:misc_RNA from 1 species
UACGUAGGGGGCGAGCGUUGUCCGGAAUUAGUGGGCGUAAAGAGCUCGUAGGCGGUCCUUUAAGUCGGAAGUGAAAUCUCAGGGCUCAACCCUGAAAUCGCUUUCGAUACUGGAGGACUUGAGGCAGGUAGGGGAGAACGGAAUUCCUGGUGUAGCGGUGAAAUGCACAGAUAUCAGGAGGAACACCGGUGGCGAAGGCGGUUCUCUGGGCCUGUUCUGACGCUGAGGAGCGAAAGCGUGGGGAGCAAACAGG